rnacentral:rRNA from 1 species
UGCUCCUACGGGGCGCAGCAGUGAGGAAUAUUGGUCAAUGGGCGGAAGCCUGAACCAGCCAAGUCGCGUGAGGGAAGAAGGCCCUGCGGGUCGCAGACCUCUUUGGACGGGGAGCAAGGCCGCCGACGUGUCGGCGGAAGGAGAGUACCCGUAGAACAAGCAUCGGCUAACUCCGUGCCAGCAGCCGCGGUAAUACGGAGGAUCCGAGCGUUAUCCGGAUUUAUUGGGUUUAAAGGGUGCGUAGGCGGUUUGAUAAGUUAGAGGUGAAAUGUCGGGGCUCAACCCCGAAACUGCCUCUA